CCCUUAGAUGCUCUGGGCCGCACGCGCGCUACACUGGUCGAUGCAACGAGUUUCUUUCCUUGGCCGACAGGCCUGGGCAAUCUUUGAACAUCGAUCGUGAUCGGGAUAGAUUCUUGUAAUUUUUGAUCUUAAACGAGGAAUUCCUAGUAAACGCAAGUCAUCAGCUUGCAUUGAUUACGUCCCUGCCCUUUGUACACACCGCCCGUCGCACCUACCGAUUGAAUGGUCCGGUGAAUAAUUCGGACUGCAGCACUGCUUGGUCUCCAGGCUUUGCAGCGGAAAGUUUAGUGAACCUUAUCACUUAGAGGAAGGAGAAGUCGUAACA
rnacentral:rRNA from 1 species